UUAUGAAGUUGUAAUUGUUUCAAUAUUGUUUUUACCCUACGAAUAAAUAAUAAGUCAAAUAAAAGAAAUUGUAGUAUAGCAUUAUUUCAAGCAUAAAUACGAGUGCAAUAUUAGUGAAAGCCGAUAUUCCCUGAGCUGCAGCCAACGGAGUCCACGCGUAUCCAAAUGAAAGAGAACUUUGAUACAUGUAUUCCUGUAGCUGCACUGCGGCAUCGGUCAAAAGCAAAAAAAAAAGCCAGCGGCGGGUGUGAGAGCUCACUGUUUUCCAUUAACGUAAUGGAGUUACUUUUCUCUUACAUUUCGGUCGCGAUAUUUUUAGGUAGCUUUUCAUUAGCACAAAAUAAAUAAUAAAUUUAACAGCGGCGUCAAUAGUUUUAAAACAAUUGUGUUCGGCGAGCACCCAAUGCUUUGAUGUGGGAGUCUCUGAAAUUGUUUUGUAAGUAAAAUUCAUUGUUUAUAUUGUGAAUACAUACAAAAUUUUAUUAAAUAACAAA